rnacentral:rRNA from 1 species
CCUACGGGAGGCAGCAGUGGGGAAUAUUGCACAAUGGGGGAAACCCUGAUGCAGCGACGCCGCGUGAGCGAUGAAGUAUUUCGGUAUGUAAAGCUCUAUCAGCAGGGAAGAAAAUGACGGUACCUGACUAAGAAGCCCCGGCUAACGACGUGCCAGCAGCCGCGGUAAUAUGUAGGCGGCAAGCGUUAUCCGGAUUUACUGGGUGUAAAGGGGGCGUAGACGGCUGUGCAAGCCAGAUGUGAAAGCCCGGGGCUCAACCCCGGGACUGCAUUUGCAACUGUGUGGCUGAAGUGUCGGAGAGGCAGGCGGAAUUCGUAGUGUAGCGGUGAAAUGCGUAGAUAUUAGGAGGAACACCGGUGGCGAAGGCGGCCUGCUGGACGAUGACUGACGUUGAGGCUCGAAAGCGUGGGGAGCAAACAGGAUUAGAUACCCUUGUAGUC